rnacentral:rRNA from 1 species
UACGGGGGGGGCAAGCGUUGUUCAGAAUUACUGGGCGUAAAGGGCGCGUAGGCGGUCGUGACAAGUCACUUGUGAAAUCUCCGGGCUUAACUCGGAACGGUCAAGUGAUACUGUCGUGCUAGAGUACAGAAGGGGCAACUGGAAUUCUCGGUGUAGCGGUGAAAUGCGUAGAUAUCGAGAGGAACACCUGCGGCGAAGGCGGGUUGCUGGGCUGAUACUGACGCUGAGGCGCGAAAGCUAGGGGAGCGAACGGG